GCUUAGACUAUCCAUCCUCAACUUAAAGUCAGACAGAUAGAGGCACGGGAUCUAAAUACUGCCCAAGAGAGACAGAGAAGCAGAAAGAGAAACAACGGAAAGACCAGAGGCACAAUCGGAAGCAGAAAGAUUUGAGGACAGGGUGUGUUUCCAAGUUAUGGGGGUGGGUGUGCUAACAGAAUCUGUGUUUUCAUAAUGAUCGCUGAUGAGGCGGCCUUGACAAAAAGGCAAGAAUAAUAUUUUACUGACAGAUGUGCGUUGUUUCUAUCUUCAGAAAAGCCAGGAGAGUGGAAGUUCACAAUGAUCCAGGCAUCCGAUGUUGGGGAGAUGCAUGAGGACUUCAAGACACUCAAAGAAGAGGUUCAAAGAGAGACCCAAGAAAUGGAGAAGCUGAGUCAAGUGGGACAGAGCUCCCUGCUCAGCUCACUCAACAAACUUCUAGGAAAGAAAAAGGAGCUCAAAGACCUUGAGCUCACGGU